AUGGAAAUGAUGAUUAUUUCCCCAGAUGAUCGACGUUGAAAUAACUGAGCUAUUAUGUUCUCAUACUUGAGAACUCAAGCCAGAUUUCUGAUUCAU